UACAGAGGGUGCGAGCGUUAAUCGGAAUUACUGGGCGUAAAGCGCGCGUAGGUGGCUAUGCAAGUCGGAUGUGAAAUCCCCGGGCUCAACCUGGGAACUGCAUUCGAGACUGCAUUGCUCGAGUAUGGGAGAGGGAAGUGGAAUUUCCGGUGUAGCGGUGAAAUGCGUAGAUAUCGGAAGGAACAUCAGUGGCGAAAGCGACUUCCUGGACCAAUACUGACACUCAAGUGCGAAAGCGUGGGGAGCAAACAGG
rnacentral:rRNA from 1 species